rnacentral:lncRNA from 1 species
GAUUCUAUGAUUCUACUACACACUAUGUGCAUUGUGUCUGUCUCCAUUUCUUAUUCUUUCUCAUUCCUUCCAGUCUUUAGGAGGAACUGCAGUUGAAGGACUGAGUUGAAAUUACGAAAGAAAGUGAUGAGUCAUGCUGCUUUUCCCAAUAGCUUCUAAAUCUGAAGACCCGACUACAUCAUGGCUUCUGCCUUGCUAUAUCCGUGGGAAGGGGAGGGGGUACAAAAUUAUACUAGUAUGUUAGCCUGAUGUUCCCAGUUUCCAACUUGUGUGUGUGUGAUUACCUAAUAUUCCUUCCCAGCUGUUUCUUAACAUUACUCAUACUAAAGCAACUAUCUUCUCACUUUCCUCACUAAACAUAGUUUCCCUUCGUGGGCUGUUUAGAAUGCUUUUUUUGUGUCUGUGCACUAUAGUUGCCUCAAACUGGCACUGAUUUAGGUAAUAAUAGUUACAAGCUCAACAAAUAUGUAAUCAAAAUAACCUUGCUCAUGCUAAGCUUUAUUCACCCAUUUCCACAAAAGCGGAAAGAAAAGAAAAAGGCAGGCUGCCACAAGUCUUAUUUUAUCUUACCAGGCAAGUGUUUAUCGGGCUGCCCGGGAAAGUGCAUGGACGGAGAGGCAUGAUUCAAAUGCACAAAUGGUGGAGCUGUGGAACCUUAGAGUUGGGAGGGACCCAGGGGUCAUCUAGUCCAACCCCCUGCAAUGCAGGAAUCUACGCAGGAAUUUCCAUGGAAUUUUGGAAAUAAUCAGCCAAAUGGUUGGCUGUGAUGUGAGGUCUUAAAACAUGGGUUGCCAAUCUUUCUGAGCCAAUAGGCACAUUUGGAGAAGGCGCCGUGGCCGCCAGUCGUUAAAUGGCUGCCAUGGAGGUGGCACAAAAUGACUAACACAAAAUGACAAGGCCACAAAAUGGUUUGGGCAUGCCGCCCCCCUCCCUCAAUGAAGAAAAGGUGCACUAGCUACUAGUUCAGAAUGGAUGCGGGGGGGUGGUGAGUGUCCAGUCCUAGCAGCCAACGAAAUGUGCUGUGUUCAAUGAAGGAGAAGGCUGAGCCACUACAAACAAACUGAGCGGUCUAUUGUGAAUUGUGAAUUUCUGAGGAGAUAUCUACUGAGACCUUUCAUGGGGGAAGCUGGGUGCUGCUGGCCAGCACAGCGGUGUCUGUGGGCGCUGCAUCAACUUUUUAAAGCUCUUGAGAAGGCAUGACUAUUGAAACACAUUCAGCGAUAUGACUGUAUCAAGACACAGUGAUAUGUUUGCGUGCACAUUCAAACCUAUGUGGGCUUGAUUGUCAAGGAACAAUCUGCUGAGCUGAGCGUUUCCAUUGCUCUUCCAUGGAACGUGGUCUUGGAGCAGAAAGUGACCUAAUGUGGACAGUCGGAGCUUGAAGAUAAUGGGUCACUUCUACUGCUGUUCUCUGGCAGCUACGAUUCAGUGCUAUAUUGCCUCUAAUCCUGGGGGUGGAAUUUAGCCAUGGUCAUUAAUAGCCAUUGGUAACCCCAUCAUCCUUGAGUAUGUAUAAUCCUCUUUGAACUCUUGUGACUAAUAGCCUUUACUGUGUGGUAGUGAGUGCCAUAUAUUAAUUAGGUGUUCUGUGUAUUUUCUUUUGUCUGUCCUAAAAUUGGCUCUUAAUCAGUUUUACUGGGUGACCUCCACUCUGGCAUCACGAGAAAGGGAGAAAAAAACAACUUAUCACUACCCACUUCUUCCACACCUUGCACAAUUCCACAAACAUCUUUUUGAUGCUCUUUUUUCUGAACUGAACAUUCUUAAAUGUUGGACGUCUUUCUUUGUAGGGAAUGCCUCCUGGUUCCUUGAUCCUUUUGACUGCACCUUUUCCAGCUCUGUGAUAUCCUUUCUGAGGUGGGAAGAUGGUGACCCAUGUUAUUCCAAGUGUGGACACGUCAGGCAUUUGUGUAAAGUUAAAGGCAGUUUUAUUUCCAGCCCCUUCCCUAAGAAUCCCUAGCAAGUUAUUUGCCCUUUUCACAGCUGCCGCACGCUGGGUCAACAUUUCUCUUGAAGUAUCUGCCAUGGCAACCGAGAAAGCUUCCCUUAUACCACGUCAGCCCGGCCUUUGGCACACCUUGUUUACUAUUGUCACUGCAAAAAGGUUGCAAAUGACUUUGAGUAAUGUGUGUUGUUCUAGGGUCACUGUCAUCUCAAAAAGAGGAUGGUUUUUAACAGUUUAAAAUCCAUCAAUAGCAGAAGCGGAACUCUUAACCACGGCCAAAGCACAGCACUGUCCACAACUUUGCUCCUACUGCCAUCUCUAUCUACAGAGACAUGGUGGUAGCAGCGCUAGCGGAAUUGUGGGCAAUAUAUAUCUGUGUGUCACCCCUGACACUAGAGUAAAUGUUACGUCAGGCCUCUCCCCCAAGAUGCAUGCUCCUUGCAUGCUUCCAGGUGUUGAUUAUUUAUCAGCACCCAAAAGUGGCUGUUCUGCUUUAAAAUGGAACGAAACCCGUUUCCAAAUUCCCAGCUGUCUGUAACCAAGCAGACAGUCCCCAUUUCCCUAACUCCAAAUGCUGGGUGGCAGCAGGGGGUGGGGGCUGUGUGUGUGACUGAGACCUGUGUGUGUGAUAAGGGUCAGAUAUUCCCUCCCCCCUGCACUGCACUCCUGAUCGUGAUUCCUCCCCCAACUCUCGUGGCACUGCAAUUCAGGAAGAAAAGAGAAAGAAACAGAUAUGAAGGUGCUGGUAUUUAAAAAGAGAAGGGUUGAUUCCCUCAGAGGAGAGGGAAAACAAAUGGCUAUAGCAGCCUCAGAAAUAGUCUGUGUGCCAGAGUCAGCUGAGCAGCAACACAAGAAGUCACCUGCACCUGGAGAAAUUGCACAGCCAAUUCCUUUGAUAAUUUAAAAAGUUGUAUUUUCGGAGCUCUUAAACAUAAAACUCAACACACACACACACACACACAAAAUGAGAGGGGGAUGUUUCGUUCAUGACAUUGUGGAGCUGCCUUUUCAAAAGUAAGUGAAAAAAGCAGGGCAACACCACAGUAAAUGCUCAGUGUGCAAGAGGCCAUGUUUACGUGCGCUUAGCGUUAAGCGAUUUGGUUUGUAGUUUCCCAGGUUGCUAAAAACAAACCCAAAAACUGCGUUCGAUGGACUGCUCUUCAAGCAUGUGGUGUGGAGGCCAGUUUUAGGGACAGCUUGCAAAGUUUGGUUAGCUUAGCAAUUUCAUGCAAAAUUGGUACAGAGCGCCUUAUUUUGGUACACUUGACACUGUGAAAUCUAAGGGCCAUUUGUCACAAGAUGCAGGGGCAAACCUGGGAUUGGUACAACGUGGGCACUCAAAGCAGGAGCUGUAGCCCUGCUCAUUAUUGUAUGACACAAGCAUUUAUUGCACAUUUACACUUUAUAUCUUUUCAUAGUAUGCACAAAGCUUCUUAGACAUAUAUCUAAAAAGGUAAUGUACAAAACGGCGCUAUCAGCCAAAGCAGCUUCUAAGGGCUGAGCACUCCGUAAUACAUAAUGCUCAUGGAAAGAAAACAUUGCAAUAUAUUAUUAUAUCACAGGGGAACCUUUAGUAUGAUAAAUAUUUCAUCAGGAUAGUAGGCCAAGGAUUCUUGGACUCAUAUGCAGUCUUUCCUAGAGCACAUGGAAAAACUACCUUUUUGAGUCUUUAAAAGCGUGAGCUCCCAUUGGACAGAAACAAAGAGCGGAAUAAUAAAUUGAUAACUUUGCAGUGGGGUCUCCGUUGUGCAUAAGAUGUUAAAGUGGCCUUCCAGAGAAAGCUGUGGGAGCCAGUGAACGCUCCAAGGCUCAGGGAAAGGAGUGAAAAGAAUUGAACAGAAUGCAUUCUGCUGAAGUAAAAAGUGACAAUUUGAAAAAGGGAAUGCUGUUCUGAAGGGGGAUGAAUCAAUGCUUGCUCUGAGUCACCCUCAAAUCCAUAGCUGCCCCUUCGUGCAAUGCUUGAGAUCACACCCUUGUACUCUCUGUUAAUCAAGCUGGAUUAAUCAUAUCUUCUUGGUUUUGCAUUUAUGAUUAAUAACAAUUUGUUAUAAUUUCCAACCAUACCUUAUUAAUAUCAGCUAAAGGCAUUAUUAUUUACUAGAAUAAAGACAUUUCAGUAAAAUGCCUAGCAUAUGUUUUGGUAGAGAGGACAUUUCAUACCUGGGAGCUGAACAACUUUGUUGUGUAACGAUGUACUGUACUAUUUCUGCUUAUCACUGUGAAAUAAAGGAGUUUUGCAAUAAAAAGUUUUUGGUUCUUAACAUAACAUUUAAGAUAAAUGGUUAAUAAAAGACCCAUGGUUGAUAGAGAGGAAGCAAAACCAAACAAGUACCAGAAAUAUAUAUUUUAAAAGCUCUUGCAAUACUUUUAUAUCUAACAGCAUUAAAGUUUAUGCUUAUAGGCUGCUUGAUGCAGCUGUCACGUUGGGUUUCACUUGGCCCUCCGGCAGCCCUCCUCAUUUGUCUGAGAGCAAAGCAUUCAAGCUGUCUGUCACAGCAGUGUGAUCUUUUGAUCCAAUGGGAAAGCAGAGUUUCUGCCAUAUUCAGGAAAGAUCCGUCACAUGAUCUUCAACAAAGCAACUGUGUCAUGCGCUGGUAAAUUCUGCCCAUUGCAAAUACGUAAGGGUGUCCUAUAAAUUAUGAUGCCAGGUUCCUGCAAAUAAAACCCCUGUUUCUUCCAUAGUGUUUCAUAGAAAGCUUAAAAUGCAAACAACAGCAAAAUGCUGCUGAUCAUGUUAAAAAAACAUUUAAAGCUGAUUCAGCAAAAAAUAGUAUUUUGGGUACACUGGACUCCACAGCAUCUUUACAAGAAGCUAUUGUUUUCUGAUUCAGGUAGAUGCUGGAAGUGUAAUGCUGGGGUACAUGAUGUGGGCUUGUCGAGUGAUAGCAUCUUUUUGCUUGGAAGUUGUCUAUAUUGUUGCACGGACCCCACUUUCCGAGCAGUGAGAGACUCCAGGGAUGCCUGUGAUUCUUGUGAAUAAUUAUAUUUGUAUACCACCCUUCAUCCGAAGGUCACAGGGUGGUUCGCAGCAU